ensembl:snoRNA
AGCACUCAUGUCAGUUUUUGUUUAACUUGUGGACAAACUUAAAGAUGAGGCAAAAAUAAAUCCUCCUUUGCAGCCCAGCACUCAUUGUUCAGUAUGCAUUCGGUGCAUGUAAGAAGGAAUAUU